rnacentral:rRNA from 1 species
CCCUUAGAUGUUCUGGGCCGCACGCGUGCUACACUGAGUGGAUCAGCGGGUCAGGUUGCGCGAAAGUGUUUCCUAAUCUUGAAAUCCGCUCGUGAUGGGGAUUGACGGUUGCAAUUUUCCGUCAUGAACGAGGAAUACCUUGUAAGCGCGGGUCAUCAUCCCGCGCUGAAUACGUCCCUGCCCUUUGUACACACCGCCCGUCGCUCCUACCGAUUGAGUGGUCCGGUGAGGCUUUGGGAUCUGAGCGGAAAGAGCGUUUCGCUGUUUCUGCUCGGAAAACUCAGUCGAACCUUAUCAUUUAGAGGAAGUAAAAGUCGUAACA